GUGUUCCCGGAGAAUUCUGCAGCCCGCGACUCAAGGCAAUUCAUUGCACCCGACACCUCAGCUCCAGAUGCCUUGUUUCCGAAGCUGGGACUUUGGGGGUUCUGACCACCGUUCCUGGGGGAGCGGGUGACAGUCUAUGAGGUUCUCGCGUCCCCUCUGAUUCCUGCACAGUUACCGAGAGAGCGUGGGCUAGAAAUGGCUUUGCUGCUGAAUGCAUUAUCUUGCCAUUUUCGUAUCCCGAUACAGCACAUACGAUCGCCUGAUCGAUCGGAAAUAGGAGGGAAAGGUAGAGUGGAAAUUGAUUUCUUGCAGAGACUGAGGCGCCGAAUGAUAGAGGGAAUAAACAUUUGCCCUGGAUAAAAAUGUUCUUGGCUGACAAAUGUUGGAGGGGGAUCUGAGGUCCACAGAAAGAAGAUGGAUGUCCUGAAUUACAUUUGUUACAAAUGUAACCUCAACAGGUGUGAUAUGUAGACAACAUACUUCUCGCAUAAGUUCUUAAUAUGCUGCUUAAACUUACUUAACUAAAUUGUUAUUCAAAGAGAUGCAAUUGUUUUCUGAGGGCCCAGCUUAAGUUAG